GUGCUUGUUUCAGCAGCACAUAUACUAAAAUUGGAAUGAUACAGAGAUUAGCAUGGCCCCUGCAUAAAGAUGACAUGCAAAUUCAUGAAAUGUUCCAUAUUUUU